CGAUCUUAAAAGCCUAAGUAGUG
rnacentral:siRNA from 1 species